CACUUGAUCUUGAUGCCUGAAAACCCUGAUUUCGUGGAAAUGUUGGUGCAGCAGUAGCAACAGAAGAUCUAAAGAUAAGCCUAAUUCUUGCUUUCUCUCUCCUUGUUUUCAGAUCUAAAGGAAAUUCAUUAUAGUGGAUCAACUAGGUUACAUUAGAACUUUCGAUAUAAGGGGAUACAUCAGGUCAAUUAGAACUCUUUUUGGAUCUCC